ACCAAAGGGACCUGAAGAGAAGAAGG
rnacentral:piRNA from 1 species